rnacentral:rRNA from 1 species
GACGGAGGGGGCUAGCGUUGUUCGGAAUGACUGGGCGUAAAGGGCGCGUAGGCGGUUUUUUAAGUGAGGCGUGAAAGCCCUGGGCUUAACCCAGGAGGUGCGUUUCAUACUGGAAGACUUGAGUGCGAGAGAGGAAAGUGGAAUUCCUAGUGUAGAGGUGAAAUUCGUAGAUAUUCGGAGGAACACCAGUGGCGAAGGCGGCUCACUGGCUCGAUACUGACGCUGAGGUGCGAAAGUGUGGGGAGCAAACAGG